UACGAAGGGUGCAAGCGUUACUCGGAAUUACUGGGCGUAGAGCGUGCGUAGGUGGUUUGUUAAGUCUGAUGUGAAAGCCCUGGGCUCAACCUGGGAAUUGCAUUGGAUACUGGCAGUCUAGAGUGCGGUAGAGGGUAGCGGAAUUCCCGGUGUAGCAGUGAAAUGCGUAGAUAUCGGGAGGAACAUCCGUGGCGAAGGCGGCUACCUGGACCAGCACUGACACUGAGGCACGAAAGCGUGGGGAGCAAACAGG
rnacentral:rRNA from 1 species